rnacentral:rRNA from 1 species
AUUGAACGCUGGCGGCAGGCCUAACACAUGCAAGUCGAACGGUAACAGGAAGAAGCUUGCUUCUUUGCUGACGAGUGGCGGACGGGUGAGUAAUGUCUGGGAAACUGCCUGAUGGAGGGGGAUAACUACUGGAAACGGUAGCUAAUACCGCAUAACGUCGCAAGACCAAAGAGGGGGACCUUCGGGCCUCUUGCCAUCGGAUGUGCCCAGAUGGGAUUAGCUAGUAGGUGGGGUAACGGCUCACCUAGGCGACGAUCCCUAGCUGGUCUGAGAGGAUGACCAGCCACACUGGAACUGAGACACGGUCCAGACUCCUACGGGAGGCAGCAGUGGGGAAUAUUGCACAAUGGGCGCAAGCCUGAUGCAGCCAUGCCGCGUGUAUGAAGAAGGCCUCCGGGUUGUAAAGCACUUUCAGCGGGGAGGAAGGGAGUAAAGUUAAUACCUUUGCUG